rnacentral:rRNA from 1 species
UACGAAGGGGGCUAGCGUUGCUCGGAAUCACUGGGCGUAAAGGGUGCGUAGGCGGACUCUUAAGUCGGUGGUGAAAUCCUGGAGCUCAACUCCAGAACUGCCUUCGAUACUGGGAGUCUCGAGUCCGAGAGAGGUGAGUGGAACUGCGAGUGUAGAGGUGAAAUUCGUAGAUAUUCGCAAGAACACCAGUGGCGAAGGCGGCUCACUGGCUCGGUACUGACGCUGAGGUGCGAAAGCGUGGGGAGCAAACAGG